AUUGAACGCUGGCGGAAUGCUUUACACAUGCAAGUCGAACGGCAGCACGGACUUCGGUCUGGUGGCGAGUGGCGAACGGGUGAGUAAUGUAUCGGAACGUGCCCAGUCGUGGGGGAUAACGUAGUGAAAAUUACGCUAAUACCGCAUACGAUCUAUGGAUGAAAGCGGGGGAUCGCAAGACCUCGCGCGAUUGGAGCGGCCGAUAUCAGAUUAGGUAGUUGGUGGGGUAAAGGCCCACCAAGCCAACGAUCUGUAGCGGGUCUGAGAGGACGACCAGCUACACUGGAACUGAGCCACGGUCCAGACUCCUGCGGGAGGCAGCAGUGGGGAAUUUUGGACAAUGGGCGAAAGCCUGAUCCAGCCAUUCGGCGUGCAGGAUGAAGGCCCUCGGGUUGUAAACUGCUUUUGUACAGAACGAAAAGGUUUCUACUAAUACUAGGAGCUCAUGACGGUACUGUAAGAAUAAGCACCGGCUAACUACGUGCCAGCCGCCGCGGUAA
rnacentral:rRNA from 1 species